AAAAAAAGAACAUAACUCAGCCUUCACAGAUCAUAACUCAGCCGUCACAUAACAUACUUGACAAAAAAACAAAACAUUAACUCAGUGAUAAAAGAGCACAACUCAGCCGCAACAUAAAUAUUGAUAAAAAACAGAACAUAACUCAGUCAAUGACUAUCAUAACAGAGCCGAAACCGUACCUCACAACCAUUCGCUUU
rnacentral:sRNA from 1 species